rnacentral:lncRNA from 1 species
AUGGAGCAUAGAUUACUGAUCCUCAUCACAAGAGGAUCACAAGGAAAUAGAGUGUUGAUCUAGUAUAAUGCGACAAUUUGAAGUGAUUUCAGAAAUUAUGGAAGUUAACACUUUGUAAGAUGGUUGAUUUAUGUGAAAUUUGGGGUAAGAGAUAAGCUAGAGACAUGAUAAAUAAACAUGUAAAAUUCUGCCCUUAAGGUGUUUGUUGAAAUGCCUCAAAGAAGGCUCGAAACUAGAAUUUUGUAGUUAAAACACCUAGUUGUGAUGUUUCGACUAUUAUGCAAAAAGUGAUUAAAGAGAGUUCUAAAUGUGUUAAACGCGAUUAGAACUUUGGUUAAAACGGAGGUCUAAAGAUAACGCCUACCGAGUAGUUAAAGAGUGCUAAAACUAGUUGAUAACUCGAAAAUGCAAAUUAGUAUACUAAUGGGCACUUGACUAUUAAAAAGGGUCAAACUGACCUAUAAUACGAUAAAUAGCAAUUUUGAUAUGAAAUGCAUAAGGUGGAAUAAUCGUAUUAGAGUAUGAUUAAACUAACCACCUUGAAAAUGAUGAUGAUAGUUUGACGCGUAACAAGCUAGGUGGAAGCUUGGAGUGAAAGCGGGUCAAACAAGUCAAGCAUGGAAGAAAAGCGUAGCUCGGAUGCAAGGUAAGUGAAACUUACAUAAUUGUGUAGAUUGCUUGUUCAUUCUAUACGUUAUAGAUGUAAUAAUGCUAAUAUUGAAAAUAAGGAUUUCCGACGUGAUUAAUACGAGUCGGAACAUAUAAAGAUGAUAAAAACCAUGGUUUAUGGCAAAAAGGGCAAAACGGUAAAUUAAUUAUGUAAAGACUAGGAAAUUAUGAAUUUCCGUCAAAGUCACCUUGUAAUAUAACCUAAUAAUGAUAGAAAGGGUAAAAUGGAAAUUGGUCAAGUAUUAACUAAUGUAAACCGAAGCCUAAAGGAAACUUUUGGCGUAAGCCGAAACGGGUUGAAAUU